rnacentral:misc_RNA from 1 species
ACUUCUUCUCAGGGCUGCGGC